rnacentral:rRNA from 1 species
UGAACGCUGGCGGCGUGCCUAAUACAUGCAAGUCGAGCGAACAGACGAGGAGCUUGCUCCUCUGACGUUAGCGGCGGACGGGUGAGUAACACGUGGAUAACCUACCUAUAAGACUGGGAUAACUUCGGGAAACCGGAGCUAAUACCGGAUAAUAUAUUGAACCGCAUGGUUCAAUAGUGAAAGACGGUUUUGCUGUCACUUAUAGAUGGAUCCGCGCCGCAUUAGCUAGUUGGUAAGGUAACGGCUUACCAAGGCAACGAUACGUAGCCGACCUGAGAGGGUGAUGGGCAACACUGGAACUGAGACACGGUCCAGACUCCUACGGGAGGCAGCAGUAGGGAAUCUUCCGCAAUGGGCGAAAGCCUGACGGAGCAACGCCGCGUGAGUGAUGAAGGUCUUCGGAUCGUAAAACUCUGUUAUGAGGGAAGAACAAAUGUGUAAGUAACUAUGCACGUCUUGACGGUACCUAAUCAGAAAGCCACGGCUAACUACGUG